UACGUAGGGGGCAAGCGUUGUCCGGAAUCAUUGGGCGUAAAGCGCGUGUAGGCGGCCCGGUAAGUCCGCUGUGAAAGUCCGGGGCUCAACUCCGGAUCUGCGGUGGGUACGGGCAGACUAGAGUGAUGUAGGGGAGACUGGAAUUCCUGGUGUAGCGGUGAAAUGCGCAGAUAUCAGGAGGAACACCAGUGGCGAAGGCGGCUCACUGGCCCGGUACUGACGCUGAGGUGCGAAAGCGUGGGGAGCAAACAGG
rnacentral:rRNA from 1 species